AUGCCCAAGCUGAUUGGUAAACUCCUACCUUGCUCAUCCUCCCAGGAUCCACAUAUUCGUGAGAAAGAUUGUGGCAGUGUGCAAGAAAUGGCAAAGUUUGAGUUUAAUAGGGUUGAUUUCUCUCGAAAGAUGAAGGACAUCAUAGAGAAAUUGCAGCUUGUGCGGAAGAAUGUUAAUGGCCUUUUGCAGAGUUGUGACCCUAGAAGUGUCUCAGACAUUGCCCAGUGUCGUCCUAUCACCAAGGGUCGAAUUGAUGAGCCAAAACUGUAUGGGAGGGACCGUGUCAUGGAUAGCAUUAUACAGAACAUCACCAAGGGUCAAUACGGUGACAAGGGUAUAACUGUGCUUCCGGUUGUUGGUUCAGGGGGAAUGGGGAAGACAACUCUCAUACAACACGUAUAUCGCAGCCAACAAGUGCAGGAACACUUUCCAGUCAUGAUCUGGAUAUGUGUGUCACUCCAUUUCAAUUUGGAUAAGGUGCUAGAGCAGAUUAAAACAUGUACCCCUGCAGUUGAAAAGGAAAAAAGUGGCAGUACAACUGAAGAUUUGAUUGAGCAAAGAUUAAAAUCUAAAAGGUUCUUACUUGUAUUGGAUGAUAUAUGGAAGAUUAAUAAUGGGAAUGACUGGGGAAAAUUAUUGUCGACACUCAAUAAAUCAAAGGAAAAGCGUUCCAUGAUUCUCGUCACAACUCGGUUUCAAGCAAUAUCAAAGAAGGUUGAAACACCUGGCCACUCAAUUAAGCUGAAUGGUUUAGAGUGUAAAGAGUUUAGAAAGUUAUUCCUUGCAUUUGUCUUUGGUGAUGAGCAAUAUCCAAGGGAUAAACAAUUUUUGCUUGAGACUGGAGAUAAGAUAAUGGAAAAACUAAAGGGCUCCCCUCUUGCGGCAAAAACGGUUGGUAGAUUACUGAGUAAAGACCUUAGUUUGCGUCACUGGAAAAGGGUCCUCAAAAGUAAAGGAUGGGAGAAGCAGAACGAUGACAAUGCAAUUAUGCCUGCCUUGAAGCUUAGCUAUGACUUUCUUCCUUUCCAUCUGCAACAAUGUUUUGCCUAUUCUGGAUUGUUUCCUGAAGAUUACAAUUUCAGAAGUGACGAGCUGAUCAGUCUAUGGAUUGGACUAGAUAUUUUGAAACCCAAUGGGCAAGACCAAAUAUUUGAAGACAUAGGUCUGAGCAAUUUAAAUGAGUUAGUCAUCCAUGGAUUUUUCAGAGAAGAGAAAACUUAUUAUGGUAUGCGUUAUGUUAUGCAUGACCUGCUGCAUGAUUUGGCAUUGAAGGUUGCAUCUCAUGAUUGUCUUAGUCUAAGUCUCCCUAGUGUUGGAUCAGUAGAGAUUCAGCCAACCACCCGUCACUUGUCUAUAAGCACAUAUGGUUUAGGUAAAUAUGAUGAAGUGUCUGAGCUGAAACUUCGAGGGAAUUGGUGUGAAGGGAUGGAGCGGUUCAGCAAGGAGCAAGAGGACGCCCUUCAACUCCUCUCCUCCCUCCAGGAACUUGACUUUUCAUGUUUCAAGGACCUUCACCAACUCCCUGCAGGGAUGAGCAACCUUACCAGCCUCAAGAAAUUAACAAUCUAUGAAUGUCCAGCCCUCUCAUCAUUGCCCAAGGAUGGCCUCCCCAAAUCACUGCAAGAGCUAAAUGUCGGAUUGUGCAGCAACCAGCAGAUAAGACAGGAGGGAACCAUCCCGAAAAUCGUACUAUAA
rnacentral:rRNA from 1 species